AGAACGAACGCUGGCGGCAUGCCUAACACAUGCAAGUCGAACGAGACCUUCGGGUCUAGUGGCGCACGGGUGCGUAACGCGUGGGAAUCUGCCCUUGGGUUCGGAAUAACAGCGAGAAAUUGCUGCUAAUACCGGAUGAUGACGUAAGUCCAAAGAUUUAUCGCCCAAGGAUGAGCCCGCGUAGGAUUAGCUUGUUGGUGAGGUAAGAGCUCACCAAGGCGACGAUCCUUAGCUGGUCUGAGAGGAUGAUCAGCCACACUGGGACUGAGACACGGCCCAGACUCCUACGGGAGGCAGCAGGUGGGGAAUAG
rnacentral:rRNA from 1 species